UGGGGAAUUUUGGACAAUGGGGGAAACCCUGAUCCAGCCAUCCCGCGUGUGCGAUGAAGGCCUUCGGGUUGUAAAGCACUUUUGGCAGGAAAGAAACGUCGCGGGUUAAUACCCCGCGAAACUGACGGUACCUGCAGAAUAAGCACCGGCUAACUACGUGCCAGCAGCCGCGGUAAUACGUAGGGUGCAAGCGUUAAUCGGAAUUACUGGGCGUAAAGCGUGCGCAGGCGGUUCGGAAAGAAAGAUGUGAAAUCCCAGAGCUUAACUUUGGAACUGCAUUUUUAACUACCGGGCUAGAGUGUGUCAGAGGGAGGUGGAAUUCCGCGUGUAGCAGUGAAAUGCGUAGAUAUGCGGAGGAACACCGAUGGCGAAGGCAGCCUCCUGGGAUAACACUGACGCUCAUGCACGAAAGCGUGGGGAGCAAACAGGAUUAGAUACCCUGGUAGUCCACGCCCUAAACGAUGUCAACUAGCUGUUGGGGCCCUCGGGCCUUGGUAGCGCAGCUAACGCGUGAAGUUGACCGCCUGGGGAGUACGGUCGC
rnacentral:rRNA from 1 species